rnacentral:rRNA from 1 species
UACGGAGGGUGCAAGCGUUAUCCGGAUUUAUUGGGCGUAAAGGGCUCGUAGGCGGUCUGUCGCGUCGGGAGUGAAAACUCAGGGCUUAACCCUGAGCCUGCUUCCGAUACGGGCAGACUAGAGGUAUGCAGGGGAGAACGGAAUUCCUGGUGUAGCGGUGAAAUGCGCAGAUAUCAGGAGGAACACCAGUGGCGAAGGCGGUUCUCUGGGCAUUACCUGACGCUGAGGAGCGAAAGUGUGGGGAGCGAACAGG